rnacentral:tRNA from 1 species
GGGUGUAGCUCAGUGGUAGAGCACUUGCCUAGCAAGCAUGAGGCCCCAGGUUCUAUCCCUAGUUCCACCCA